GUAGAUUGCGUAGUAGUUGGUAGGUAUUCAUAUAGUUGGUCAUAAGAUUAGACCCGUGCUUGGUAGCAGAACAAGAUGAAUGACGUUUCAUAUGGCAUAUCUCAAAAUUACUCAUCAGUUCAAACUCACUAUCUUCUGGUACAAACUCAACUUUAAAUUAUACGAUCUUCCAUUCUAAAACUAACUGGUAAUAACUGAAUUGAUGCAUUUUCUUUAUCUCUUACUUAAAAUUUUCAUGUGAGAUUUUGUCCCUAAUAUUUUUUUUUUAAUUGAAUCUUAUCAGAUUUACAUUGGGGAUAUGUGUGACAUCGCCAAGCUUGUUUUACCGGUGUACAUAAUUGCAAACAAGAAAGUAAUAACAAU
rnacentral:lncRNA from 1 species